rnacentral:rRNA from 1 species
AGUGAACGCUGGCGGUAGACCUAACACAUGCAAGUCGAACGGCAGCACAGUAAGAGCUUGCUCUUACGGGUGGCGAGUGGCGGACGGGUGAGGAAUACAUCGGAAUCUACUUUUUCGUGGGGGAUAACGUAGGGAAACUUACGCUAAUACCGCAUACGACCUACGGGUGAAAGCAGGGGAUCUUCGGACCUUGCGCGAUUGAAUGAGCCGAUGUCGGAUUAGCUAGCUGGCGGGGUAAAGGCCCACCAAGGCGACGAUCCGUAGCUGGUCUGAGAGGAUGAUCAGCCACGCUGGAACUGAGACACGGUCCAGACUCCUACGGGAGGCAGCAGUGGGGAAUAUUGGACAAUGGGCGCAAGCCUGAUCCAGCCAUACCGCGUGGGUGAAGAAGGCCUUCGGGUUGUAAAGCCCUUUUGUUGGGAAAGAAAAGCAGCAGGUUAAUACCCCGCUGUUCUGACGGUACCCAAAGAAUAAGCACCGGCUAACUUCGUG